AUUGAACGCUGGCGGCAGGCUUAACACAUGCAAGUCGAGCGGAGAUGAGGUGCUUGCACCUUAUCUUAGCGGCGGACGGGUGAGUAAUGCUUAGGAAUCUGCCUAUUAGUGGGGGACAACAUUCCGAAAGGAAUGCUAAUUCCGCAUACGUCCUACGGGAGAAAGCAGGGGAUCUUCGGACCUUGCGCUAAUAGAUGAGCCUAAGUCGGAUUAGCUAGUGGGUGGGGUAAAGGCCUACCAAGGCGACGAUCUGUAGCGGGUCUGAGAGGAUGAUCCGCCACACUGGGACUGAGACACGGCCCAGACUCCUACGGGAGGCAGCAGUGGGGAAUAUUGGACAAUGGGGGGAACCCUGAUCCAGCCAUGCCGCGUGUGUGAAGAAGGCCUUAUGGUUGUAAAGCACUUUAAGCGAGGAGGAGGCUACUGAGACUAAUACUCUUGGAUAGUGGACGUUACUCGCAGAAUAAGCACCGGCUAACUCUGUGCCAGCAGCCGCCGUAA
rnacentral:rRNA from 1 species